ensembl:lncRNA
CACAGGUCAGGCCAUAGGCUAACAGACAGUUAACAGAAUAAGGAAAUAUAAUAGAAAUUUGAAUUUGGAUUUGGAUUUGUUUGGCCCUCUUAUAAAAUCAUUAGCAAUAACAUGUCACAGUCUAUAAAAUAUGCCAUUUGUAUCUGAGAACACCGUUAUGAAAGUGCGCAGUGGAACUCAAUUUUCUUUUUAUUAAGGAAACCUUUCACAGGAGACUAAAAGCUGUGGAAGCGUAAUUGGUUUUAACCCUCACAAGGCACAUCGUGCAUCGUGACGUGACGGGGCUGCUAAAUGGUUGGUAGGCAGAUAUGCACAGAUCGGCUUGAUACUCUUCUCCUACUUGCCUACAGAAUACAGAGAAGCACGGGUCCGCUUGGCCCUGAAGACUGCAAUGCCGC